UCUCCCACACAGCAACCUGCAAGUCCAGAGCGUGGGAAACCAGCAAGUUGAGAGAGGACCCAGAAGUAAUGCCUUCUAAAAUGGGAAAGAUCCCGUCUCCUGAAAGGGAAGGAGGAAGUCAAUUGAACCGGACAGGAGAGGAUUUGCAUAUCUAUCUGUGACCUACAAUUUAGAGUGGAAAUGGCUCGACAAAAUUGACUGGAGGUCACGAGAUCAUCUGGAGAUAAGGUAGACCAAAACCACCAACUACAGUUAAACAACAAUAGCCCAAGGCCAAGACAUGUGACACCGGUCCCAGAGACCUGAGCCCAACCUUUAAAACCCCCCAGUUUAAAAAGCUCUGUAUUUCUGCUUAAAGGCAGGAUGGUGGUUUUUCUGAGAUGCUAAUCUGCUGCCCUCCUCAUUUUCUGGCAAAUUAAUAAACUUCUCUUUCC